CAGUAUUUAAGCUCGUCUCCGCCAGCUGGUCCCUGCCGGGUAUUGUUCCCUGAACCCCGCACCUACAUGUGCCUACUUCGACUCACCUGUCCUGGGUCGCAUUUUACUGCGUGGAUUGUUCUCCCAAGAUGCAGACGGAAACUCCGGAGGCAAUGUGCAGAUUUUUUUUACAAAGCUGCCGUCUAUGAAGUGGUGAGCAUAUAGAAAAGGUGGACAUAUGUUGCUCAGAGGUGCCAGACGUCCGUGUAGAAGAAGGUUUUUCAUCAAUGAUGUCAUGAAAACCCAGAACUUCAAAAGCGACCUCCCAUUAGGUGUUGUGGAGGGUGGCGUGGCCUGUGGGCCUGCAGCGAAGCAGGGUGUGGCAGCGAAAUCAGCAUCAGGUGCAUAGAUGGCCCACCUGGGCCUGGUUAUCUGAUCACCUGUUGCUCUUUUAUAAGCAACAGCCAGGAGGAGAGACAGGGUGGAGUGGGAGUUGAAGCUGGUGGAGAGCGAGAGCAAGACGGACAGUCACGAAAAGACGAGUGCUGAAAAGCA